rnacentral:lncRNA from 1 species
UGUUGUUAUUUGUUGUUGGUGAUAAAAACAUGAUUUGUUAGACACUACAGUAUACAAGCUACCAGAACAAACAAUAUUUUAUAAUACAUAGCUACUUAAGUUGUUAGAGGUUAUUCUCAAAAACAUACCAGAAUCUGUUUCCCUUUUUGUUCCAACUGUACAGGCCACUUUCAAAAGGCCCUCCCCCCACCUUAAAGUUGGAUCUCCAUCAACAAACACUGAGUCUGAGUUGGAGAGAGUUCUACAGAGACGACGGGGCGCAUUCAAGAUCUCACAGGAAAGUUGUUCGCCGUCGUCACCUCGUCCCUUCCCCAGCAGUGUUCUGGAUGUCACCAGGGUGAGAGGGGACCAGCCCCAGACCAAGCAGAACUCUGUCCCGCUCUUGGCCCACUCAGCUGACCUGAGUCCUGGCCACUAGCACCCCAGGGCCCUGGACAACAGACCUGCACCUGUCGAUGCUGCAGUCAGCUCUCUGGUGAAGGAAAGAAGACCUCAGAGUACAAAGCCUGCCUGGUGUCCCCACUGCACUACACAGGGUUGGGGAGUAAUGAAUUACAUUUUGCAGUAGGUUGAACUUAUUAAAAUCUAAGUAGUGUUUUCAGUAGUUAAUCCUUUUUUUUGCCAUGUAGCGGUGUAGCUAACUACUGGAACUACACACUACUUUUUUCCAAAAUGAAAAGAUAAUAUGGGUGAAGUAGGCAAUAUUUUCCUUUCUUUUUCGGCAUCAGACCUGCCUAAUUCUCACUUGAAACACAGUUUUUGUGUUUAAUAGGCUAAAUUACACAUUCAGAUGUACAUAUGAUACUUUUUCAAAAAGUCGUUUGGAUGUAGUGAACUCCUUUUUCAAAGUAACUUCAGUUAAUUCAACUAUAUUUUUCUUAAGGCUAGCAUUAGUUUAGCUUAAAUUCUUUCAGUGUGAAGUAAUUGGUAGCUUGGUAAACUAUCUUCUCAGAGUAGCUUCCCCAACACUGGCAUUAUACCAAUAAUGGAAAUGUAGUCAUAAACCACAUAAAAAUAGUGGUUAUUAAAUGGACAGGUUUAUUCAAAAUAAUUGUGACCACAGUGUCACAUAAUCUUUUUUGUAUGUGUGUGUAUUUUUUAUUUGGAAUUUGCAAAUAUAUGUGUAAAUAUCAUGUUCUGUUUAUUCCAGAGUAUGUGAUGCCAAAUUAUUGUGAUUCCUUUAUGUGCUCAUUUUGAUCAAUUCAGUUUUGUUUCCACGAAAAAAUACAGAUCAACGCUGCAUUUGGUUAGCGUGAAACCUUUUUGCACUAAGUGACGACUGAAAAUUCAUUCAUUUUAAUAUGGGAAGAAAUGUAAUGGUGUAUAAUUUAAAUAGAUUGUAUGAGCUAUUCAUUUUAAGACUUGUAAUUACAUUAGAUUGACGUAAACAUAAAUAGAAAAUGUCAUUUUGGAAUAAAAACACUAUGGUAUUCAUUUAAUC